GGUGACAGGAGCUUCUGUGGCUGUUGAGUUACAGGUGUGUCUGCAGGAAAGACUUUUCAGGCUCCUUUCCUGGUUGCUGCACACAAGCCCCGCUCCCAUGGCAGGGGUCCUCCGAGAAGGCGGAACAAACCUAUAGGAGACAGGAAGUCCCUGGAGGCAUCCAAACACAUGCACAGGAUCGGGAGUGACCUGGAGAGACAACGUGGUGAACCUGAUGAUGAAGACGAUCCUGAUGACGAAGAUAAUACUUUUGAUGAAGACGAUCUGAAUUCCCAACCUGUACCCAUUACUGAGCCUCUGAGAGAUGCUGAGGGUGUGUCUGCAGGGAGGACUUUGGUGGAUGUUGCACACAAGCCCCGCUCCCAUGGCAGGGGUGAGUAGUGUGUCCCUGCUGACCCCACAGGCUGGGACUUCGUUUUGUGGGAUCCAUUCCUGGGAAAUGGAACUCUGUUUCUCUUAAGGUCCUCCAAGAAGGAAGAAGAAACCUACAGGAGCUCGUAAGUCCCUGGACCAUUCCAAACAUCUGGAACAAAAACGGAGUGGUGUGGACAGCCAGAGUAGUGGGUGCAUUUCUCUCAUGCUUCCCCUGGGACUCAGCAGCCGGGGGCUUUGGCUGCACAUGUGGACACGCCGUGCCCGGCACAGCGGGAAGGCAUCCAUGCACCACAGGCCAUGCCCAGCCUAAGAUCCCCUGCCAUUUCCCAGUCCCUGAGCACAUCUGGAGGGGCCGCUCUUUGCAGGAGAGAGGGCCCUGGAGCAGCUCCAAAAUCCUGGCCAUUUUCCUUGUCCUUAUCCAUGUCUUUGACAAGUGUUACCUGGAAGAGAAGGGCACAGCAUAGAGGAAUUACGGCAUGCAGGCUCAGGGGGUUUGGGUACUGAGCAGUCCUGUGCCAAGGGGCAGCAAAGUGCCUGCAGGCCCCAGCUCUGGAGGAAACAGGGAGUGAGGACGUCCUGCCCGUAUCCACCACGCUGCAUUUCAGCAGUGCAGCACAGCAUGGGCUCACGCUCCCCAUUGCUCCCACAGAUGCAGCCGAGACCUCAACACAUUCUGACUACACUUGGAAAAACAUGAGAAGAGUUGUCUGCUGGGGAACACCUUGUUUGAUUAA